rnacentral:rRNA from 1 species
UACAGAGGUCUCAAGCGUUAUUCGGAUUCACUGGGCGUAAAGGGUGCGCAGGCGGCCGUGUGUGUGAGGCGUGAAAGCCCGGGGCUUAACCCCGGAAUUGCACCUCAAACUACAUGGCUAGAGCAUUGGAGAGGGUAGCGGAAUUCACGGUGUAGCAGUGAAAUGCGUAGAUAUCGUGAGGAACACCAGAGGCGAAGGCGGCUACCUGGACAAUUGCUGACGCUCAGGCACGAAAGCGUGGGGAGCAAAAGGG